CAAAUCUAUUCCAGGAAGACUCGUCAUUUUCUGGUCUCACCCAAACUACACAUUGCAUUGAGUCCAUCCAACUCAGCAGACAGUCACAACCACAACAUGAACAAAAACCAGUACAACGUAACGCCAGAGAAGAAACAAACAGCAUUAUGAUAAAGUUUUUCACCAGUCGACUGAUGAUGAAGAUGGAGAUGCAGCUGGAUCCACCACCAAAAAGUUCUCUUCUUCGUCCGGCUCUGAUCUUCUGACGAUGGAGUUCGUUCACGGCCGUUCCAUGAAACACGCGUUGCCCUAAUUCUGCAACCGAGGCCGAUGAACAAGUCGACAUGAAAAUGGGUUUUGGGCUUUGGUGAACUUCGGCCCAAUUUUCUCCCCCUCCUUUUUCGC
rnacentral:lncRNA from 1 species